UACGGAGGAUGCGAGCGUUAUCCGGAUUUAUUGGGUUUAAAGGGUGCGUAGGCGGUUUUUUAAGUUAGUGGUUAAACGUCGGGGCUUCACCUUGAUUUGCCAUUAAUACUGUAAGACUCGAGUUCAGACGAGGUAGGCGGAAUAAGUUAAGUAGCGGUGAAAUGCUUAGAUAUAACUUAGAACUCCGAUAGCGAAGGCGGUCGCCUGGCCUGUAACUGACGCUGAGGCACGAAAGCGUGGGGAGCAAAUAGG
rnacentral:rRNA from 1 species